rnacentral:rRNA from 1 species
CAAACGACUCUCAGCAACGGAUAUCUCGGCUCUCGCAUCGAUGAAGAACGCAGCGAAAUGCGAUA